UACGUAGGGUGCGAGCGUUAAUCGGAAUUACUGGGCGUAAAGCGUGCGCAGGCGGUUUCUUAAGCAAGAUGUGAAAUCCCCGGGCUUAACCUGGGAACUGCAUUUUGAACUGGGAGACUAGAGUGUGUCAGAGGGAGGUGGAAUUCCGCGUGUAGCAGUGAAAUGCGUAGAGAUGCGGAGGAACACCGAUGGCGAAGGCAGCCUCCUGGGAUAACACUGACGCUCAUGCACGAAAGCGUGGGGAG
rnacentral:rRNA from 1 species